UAUAAGGGAUUUUAAGUUUUUACUUGCAACGUUUGACCACUCGUCUUAUUCAAAUUUUUUUAAAAUUAUUAUUUAUUUUAUUAGUCACUUACUUUAUUAUCCACAGUACUUUAAACACAACUUUUUAUUUUUUAUAAAUACAAAAAAAUUUAAAUAAGACGAGUGGUCAAAUGUUGCUAGCAAAAACUUAAA
rnacentral:pre_miRNA from 1 species